AUCUUUUAGGCUUUCAUUAUCUUGUCAAAUUGUGGCUUCUUAUCAAAUAUAUGCUACAUGUGUAUUCAAAACUACUGCUGACCUGCUAUGAACAGAAAGUUUGUUUUUCGGGUUUCCCUCGUUUAGCUUUGUUUUCUCACUCAUGCAGUUUUGAGGAAGGCCUGCUGAGCUGCGUGAGUACCUGAUGAGGCUGCCCCUUCCCCUGCUGCACACUGAUGUCUGUAAAGGAGGCCUCUUCGGGCUCUGACAGAUAAUGACCUUCUCAAUAUGGUGGUCAGAUCAUGUUUCCAGCCUCAGGAGCUACGUACUAAGUCAUUCCGUUGGGAAACUGUUACUAAAACAGAAAGGUUCUGGGCGGCUGACGUGGCAUCACAGUUUACAGUGUCUGCCAGCUGUGAGUAACAGCAGGCUGUCACCAUGGGAAAUAACAGCAGCAGCAGCAGCAGCAGCAACUCCUGAUUUAGGGGCAAAAGAUUGUCUCUUCCAAGGAGGAUUACAAACAGUGCAGUCAUUGGAGAGACAACCUUUACGGCCCAGCAGUGAGGUGAGAGACCAUCACCCACAGUCAGAAUUCCACAGCACUUGCUAGGUUCUGGGAGUGGCUUGAGGGGCUGAGAGAGAAUCUUACAGCUUAGAUCCAUCACCCUGUCUCAGCACGAGACCCAAGAGUGGUGGCUUUCCUUGGACUAGUAACCACAUGAGAGGCUAACAAGCUUUUUGAAUGCAAGAAUUGUUUCUUUUACUUUUGUGUGUGUGUCAAAUCCUGGGACACAAUAGGAACUUGGUAAGCAUUUGCUGAAAGAAUAAACCAUUUAGGUGUUUUUAGAGCAAAUUCUGAAUAUUAAAAUGUUAUUUCAAAAGUAGACAUGCACUUCUCUGUGUUCACCUUAAUGAUGCUGAGGAAACGCAUAUU